rnacentral:snRNA from 1 species
GUGCUUGCUUCAGCAAUACAUAUACUAAAAUUUGAAUGAUACAGAGAAGCUUAACAUGGCCCCUGCACAAGGAUGAUAUGAAGGAAAUAAAAAUUAA